GACUAUGCUUGGAUCCAAGCCACAGUCACUCAUUUCCUUCUCGGGUGUUUUAGCUACAUCCUUCCUGCAGUCUGUCUGUGCCUGAGGUUCCCAGGCAUUUGCCAAAGCUUUAUUGAAGUUGAUUGUUGCAUAUGUAGACAAGAAAUGCAGGAUCAAAGUACAUUUUGAAAAGUACAUUCUGGAGAAGAUAUAUGUGCUGAAAGAUUUACCAAUGACCAGAUGUGACUACAUGACUAGAGAUACUAGAGUCUGGUGAAAGUAGAUGGUCUCUUGCAAGAAGGCUUUUCUGAAUCUGUGAUGGAUAAAUUAUAUCUCAUUAUGGCUCUAACAACACCUCCCAUCAAUCAUCAGUGCUUCCAGCUGGUAUGAACCAUAUUGUUCAAUUCAGUAUUGUCUUUGUAUUUGGUCCUUUCUGCUGACUUGCAAGAAAACUGAUACCAACUGAGGUCUGCUUCUUCGACAUUCAGCUCAAAUAUCCAAUGAGCAGUCAACUGUUGCUCACUACCACGUCUAUUUCACUUUAUCUGAAUAAUGUGCUUUAACUGAAUAAUGUGCUUUAACUGAAACAGAAACAUAGUAAGGAGUCUCCAAAUGCAGCAUCAAUGAGCAACUAAUUUCAGCAGCAAUAAAAUACACAGAGAUGAAACUGUAA